rnacentral:lncRNA from 1 species
CUCCCCAGGCCAACAAACCCAGUGCCCUAUGUUCACCCGCUCUCGCCGCGCACCAACCCCAGCCCCCAGCCCCCAUCCCUCUCUCUCUCUCUCUCUCUCUCUCUCUCUCUCUCUCUCUCUCUUUGCGGCGGCGGAACUCUAUAAAAAGCCACAGUAACAUUUGACUCCAACAUCCAAUCCAAAACUGAAAAAGUGUGUGAAAGAGAGAUGGCAGGAGGAAACUAGGUGACCCUGCAUGGAUCGUGGCUUAGCCUUUACACAAAGAGAGUGGAACUGGCCUUGAAAACAAAAGGCAUCCCCUUUGAGUUUGUGGAAGAAGAUCUGAAUAACAAGAGCCCAUUGCUCCUCAAGUACAAUCCCAUCCACAAAAAAGUUCAUGUACAAUCUCGCACCGUGAUCACCCCCUCUCGCCCCGUACCAACCCCAACCCCCAUCCCUCUCUCUCUCUCUCUAUCCCACUCGAUUUGGGCUUGCUUUUGGAGCUCCGACUCCUUUUUUGGGCUAGAGGCCUUAACGAACUUGCUGAGGAAGGAAGACGAAGAAUAAGGUAGCGCUGAACCGCGCGCAAUGGGGUUUUCCUAAUCUGUGCUUGCAGAAGAGAAGCCCAGGCCUUGCUUGAAUCUGGCGGCCCCUUCGCCGCACCGAGUGAACUAGUCGUAGUACGCCGCAACUUUUGCCUCCUCCAUUUUCGAGCUCGACGGUCUGCAACGGUUGCUGGUCUGAAGUGACGGCUUUGGGGCCCAUGUUCUUUUGCACGCCAGAUCGAGACUGGUUCUUAUUGGAAUUAGGUUUUGGUGUUUCGCCGCUGAGCCGAUGCCAGAGAGAGAGAGGGAUGAGGGCUGGAGUUGGUGCAGGGUGAGGGGG